rfam:Haemonchus contortus, ISE/inbred ISE, WGS project CAVP01000000 data, contig: Hcontortus_36810
AGCGCGAUGGCCGAGUGGUUAAGGCGUUGGACUUAAGUUCCAAUGAACGCAAGUCCUCGUGGGUUUGAACCCCACUCGCGCUA